GUUUUGGAUCGCUCAGUCGGUACAGUGCGAGCCUCUUAAUCUCAGGGUUGUGGGUUCGAGGCCCAUGCUGGGCA